UUGAAUUUCCGAGCACGUCCUCUCCUCACACAGAAGGAUGGACUUUACAUCCCCUCCCCUCCCCUCCCUCCUCCCCCUCAUCAUCAUCAUCACCAUCAUCAUCACCCCCAUCAUCCCACCCCACCACCAACAGGAAGAAGAAGAAGAAGAAAAAACUUGCACACACUCUGAGAGCUCAACUGUGCAUGCACUUUUUUUCUCUGUGGUGCGUGCAGACGUUCUGGGAAAGUUGUCUCCCUCCCUUCAUCUCUCUCCCUCCUCCUCCCUCCCUCCCUGCUCCUCUUCGUCGUCUAUCAUGUGCUUGGGAUGUGCUCGUGCUUUUUGCACAGAGCAGCUGUAGCACGCCUAUAAUGCAGGCUACUCAGUGUUAGCGGCAAUUUUAAAGUGAUGUGGGCCCCCCACCCCCCUUCACCAAUUAACACGGCUGGGAUAUUUGAAGCAGGGGGGGAGAGAGACCGUGGUGCGCGGUCCACAGACACGGCAGACACGGACCACACUCGACACCGCCGUUGUCAACCUCCUCCAGCCUGGGACGUUUUGCAGUGAUUUGACUCACCCCUCGGAAUGAUGGAGACGGGGAGCUGUGGACGACUGCGGGCAGCGGGAAGUGGAGGUCAACAUGGGAUUUUGCUCUUCACUGGACCCACGUGAGGUUGGCCGGGCCCCUCAAAGACCGUGACCCAGAAAUCAAAUGGCAUAAUGACUGGAUUCUCCGCUGCUAAAGACGUCAAGGAUAUUCAGCCGAUAUGAGAGGUGACUACGUGCUUCCCUUUCAAGCAUUUGCCGUCCCUGCCCUCCUGUUAUAUGGGGCUACGUGUCAUAAAUUCCUCGCUCAAGAUCAGCAGCCUCCGCGUUCGCUCGGAAUGAUCGGAAACGCUGUGCGAAAGUGUCCGGGAGACACUUUGAGUGACAUUGCCUCUGUCAAAAGAGUGAUCGAAGAAGACAGAGAGAAAUGCUGCGCUAAUGAAAUCGUCUGACCCACAUCCUUUAGUGCUAUCCAUUUCUCCAAAGACACAGAAAGGGCAUUUAUACAGGUGCAUGAUUUGGAUGAUCGGUGAGAGAUGAGUCUGGAUGUCACCAAGAGAGGAGCUUGAUGAACUCUACACCUAAGGCUGAGAAGCUCCAGGAGCAUCAUUGUCCUGAAAUCAUUCUUAAUAAUAAUAAUGAAAUAUGUACAGUGUAUAUAUAUAUAUAUAUGGGAUAAUAUUUUUAUACGAUGCAUCAAAACUUUACAAUAUGUUAAUUGGUUUUAAGAAACUUUAUUUCCUGUAAUUGACUGAGUCUAACAAAAGCAUCUUUUGACAGCAAAAAAAAUAAAAAAUAAAAAACACGCUUUUCUGACUUUAAGUGAUGUUUUUAAGAGCGAGUUAUUUCCUGCUUUGUACCCCGGAUAAAGAACAAUGUACUUGACAUAAUUGGGUCCCGUUUAGUUGUGGAAAGAGCAUGCAUGGCAAUAUAAAGCCGACAGGGCGAUCAAAGCCACUGAUCAAACUCCCACAACUGACGCGCAUGAAAGGUGCAGGAAUCGGUAUCGUGAAGCCUCCUGAUUGAAAUCACUUACAUGCAGGGAUAUGCACCGUGCAAUCUGUACUCUGUGUCUUUACAAUGAAAUGUAACUGCGGGUGCCGAAAUAAAAACGGUGAUUAAAAAUGAGAACUGUUCUGUGCUCGUUUUCUACAUCUUGGCGGUGUUUUUAUUAUUAUGUGCAUGACAGGUAAAUGUUUUUAUGUAAAAGAUGAAAAGUACAAUCUGACUUCAGUUCUCUAAAUUCUAUUUUAAUUGUCUUUAUACAAAAAAACAGCAUACAAGACUCUCCAUGUGGGAUAGAAGGCAGAAGUCUAUGUCCCACUUUCUAUCUUCCAUCAUGCUUCAUUCUUUUUUGUCUCUCCAUUUUCCCUCACCUCCCAAUCAUAUUAAUUAUCUGUCCCUUCCUACUCAAUAUUCAUUCUCACCAGACAUCUCUCACGCUUAUACCUCAUCUUCAUUUCCUCUACCAGCAUCACUCUUCCUCUCCUUCCUUCAGCAGUCUCUCAGUCCCAUCUGUUCCCCUACCCGUCCUCCCCCACCCUUACCCGUUCCAUUGCUCCGUCUCUUGCUCUCCCUUCUCCCUUGUCUUUCUCCCCUUCUCAGAUGUCAGAUCACAGUCUAGUCUUCCGCUUGCCCUGUCAUCACAUUUUUCACACAACCCCAUCCCUUAAUUGGGCCUGUAUCAUCAUAUCAUAUCAUGUAGAAUACCUGAUCACAGCGAGAGAUGAAAGAUAGCCUCCACCUAUCCCCUCGCAGACAGACAGAGGCACUCACAGAGAAUGCGGGCUCCAACAAACACUCGUGUACGACACACGCAGCCGCACACACACACACACACACACACAAACACACACAUCAGUGGUCGUAUGGGACAGGAAUCCAAGCUGAUGGCUGUGCCUGUGCACAUUUUUACACCUCAUGUUUGCACCAAGUUGUCGAUGUGAUUGUUACAGCGUGACAGGUGAGACGGUGUGGUUUUUUUCCGAGAGUGUCCAGAGAUGUUUGUAUCAACUGCUAGUGGCUUUUGUGAUUAGACAAAAGGAUGCCCUGGAGCCAGCAGUGUCACAUCUACAGGUAAAUAAAGGGAACAUCAACAACAGAGAGAGACACACACACACACACACGCA